rnacentral:rRNA from 1 species
UACGGAGGGUGCAAGCGUUGUCCGGAUUUAUUGGGUUUAAAGGGUGCGUAGGCGGCUUUUUAAGUCAGUGGUGAAAGACGGCAGCUCAACUGUCGCAGUGCCAUUGAUACUGGCGAGCUUGAGUGCAGAUGAGGCCGGCGGAAUUGGUGGUGUAGCGGUGAAAUGCAUAGAUACCAUCAAGAACACCGAUUGCGAAGGCAGCUUACUAAGCUUUAACUGACGCUGAGGCACGAAAGCGUGGGGAGCAAAC